rfam:Pteropus alecto contig167675, whole genome shotgun sequence.
GGUUCCAUAGAGUAGUGGUUAGCAUGUCUGUUUUACACGCAGAAGGCCCUGGGUUCGAGCUCCAGCGGAGCCA